rnacentral:rRNA from 1 species
AGCUUUGAGCUAAAUAUAUUAUAAUAUUAGUUAUUUUAUAAAGGUGUUGUAUAACCUUAUUAAAAAUUAUAUUUAGGGGUGAUAGGCUUUUCAAAAACUAAGAUAUCUUGAAUCUAAUUAAAAGUAUUUAGUACAUUUAACACGACUAUUAAGUGAUUAGGCUUUAUAGAAACUAUUAAACCUUAUGAUAUUUUUUUUUAUUAUAAUUUAAUAACUAAGUAUAAAAAUAAAUUAACAUACAUAUAUUAUAAUUUAUAAAUAGUAAUUAGAUAGGUUUAUAAGUUAAUAAAAAAUUGUAAUAAUGUUAAUAUUAGUAUAUUAUUUAUAUUUAUUUGAUGAACUCGGCAUAAAUGCUUCUCAACUGUUUAUCAAAAACAUAACUAUGUGAAAAAAUACAUAGCGGUUUCUGCUCAA